rnacentral:rRNA from 1 species
UUCAGCCUACGGGAGGCAGCAGUAGGGAAUCUUCCACAAUGGGCGAAAGUCUGAUGGAGCAACGCCGCGUGGGUGAAGAAGGUGUUCGGAUCGUAAAUCCCUGUUGUUAGAGAAGAAAGUGCGUGAGAGUAACUGUUCACGUUUCGACGGUAUCUAACCAGAAAGCCACGGCUAACUACGUGCCAGCAGCCGCGGUAAUACGUAGGUGGCAAGCGUUAUCCGGAUUUAUUGGGCGUAAAGGGAAUGCAGGCGGUCUUUUAAGUCUGAUGUGAAAGCCUUCGGCUUAACCGGAGUAGUGCAUUGGA